CGCACCCCUGUUCUGUUUAUGCAGUUUUUCUUUGACUACCUUGUGAAUUGACGCCCCCAGGGCACCGUUGCCACCUUGUGGAUAAACUAAUUACUGCAGAAAAAAUUAAUGGUAAACACAAGCUUAAGAUACUUUUACGUUUUAUUAUACGACAUAAAAUACAUCACGGUAUUAACUUACCUGUAAUUUUUUUUAAAAACAAGUGGCUAAAUCGGACUUCAGAGGCUGUCCGUGACAUUAAAUGUCAUUAUGGCAAACAGGUAAGCUCUGUCUACUUUACCACCUAGUUAUGCGUAUACCUGCGCUCUUACAAACUAUUCUAAUUCAAGUUGGUGAAGUUGAAACAUUAGCUGUUUGCUUCUGGCGACUGCAUUUAGGCUUCAAAAUUCAUAAAAGUUGUGUUCAUCUGUGAAAAUUAGCUUGAUGGACAAAAGGUGUAAGUAUCAUAAACCUUUGUUGAUUACAGAACGUAUUUUUUGUGAUAAUCCAAAAGCCUAUGGGAAAUUCCUAUUGUCGAGGGAACCAGCGAGACUGCCGUCAUAGUUCCACCCCUCUAUUAGUUCACUGGCUUGUUAAGCAUGCACGUUUGAACUUGCAUUUACCAUAUUUGAUGCUCUAUGUACAUGCAUUGAUCCAACGCUAUCUCACGACCAAUUUGUAUGAAUUUUACGAGGUGGCUAAUUCAUACGAAUUUGUAUGACGUCACUCGUGUGAAUUCAUACGAUUUGUCUAAACACCGGUGAUGAGUAGGUUAAGGAAGCGGGGUUAGGGGUAGGUCAUUCAUAUGAAUUCAUACGAAUUUGGCAAGUCGUUAAAUAUGUACGAUGUGAGGUUGUAUGAAUUCGUAUGAAUUAGUCACCUGGUAAAAUACGUAUGAAUUGCAGUGAGAUCAGGUUGAUUGAUCAGUGGUUAUAUAUGAAUGUGAACUAUAAUCAUAUGCUUUUGAUAAUUAAAAUUAAAUAGUUAAAAAAAAUUGUGUGCUACUACUAUUACAUGAAUAUCAACAAAUGGUAUCAAAAUGAUGAUGUUGCAUGAUUUUAAUUGUUUAUCCAAACUGUACCCUAUUCAUAGAAAGUGCCUGGUAACCUCAUCUCAUUCAUGCUUCUUGUACCAAUUCCCCGUAAUGUAUCUAUGUCAUCCCAACCUCCUCCAUUCUUCCACACAAACCUGGUGUCCUGCUGGGAUCCUUCAUACAUGCUCCAGAUAAGUCAAAGAGGCUCAAGUAGGAGAGGAGAGAACAGAGAGGCUGCAGAGAGGAAAAACAAUAGAAGAACAGUGACCUCAGAUAUUGGUAAUCCAAAAUCCAAUGGAAAAAUCAUGUUGGGUUUUUGUUGAGGGAACCAGGGUGAUGGCAACUUCCGGGUUAGCCUACCGAAAAAAUGCAACAGAUGAAUGAAACUCAGGUUUUGAACAACUAGGAUACUGCUGCAGAACGUCAUUAGAGGACACUAGUGCCUACAAGUUCCAAAAAAGGACACCCACAGCUGUCAUAUUAGGUCAUUUACAGGUUGCCUUGAAUUUCAUUGUAACACAGCAGGGAUGAUGCAUCGCACACAAAAACUGUGGUCCGGUACAUGUGCUUUUUUCUCACAGUUGAGCAUAUCUGACCCACACUCUACAAUAGAUCAAAGAGGAUAUAUAUCUCGCUCUUACUGUUGGAGCCAGAUGCUUGUAAGGAUGGAGGGAAAUGGAUCUUACACGAAAGCCUUAUUAAGCAGCACAUCACAGCUCUGCUCUCUCCCAUAGUCUCGAGAUUUCUCCCAAUUCUCCACUGCAGGUGUUCCUCUCGGCACAAAGCCCAGAACUCAAGCGUUUACCCACGGAUCCUUCCGGACAAAGACCUACAGUAGAUGGGAUAAGCUGUGAUGUUCCUUGAUUCAGGUCCAUUUUAAAAUAUCUGGGCACUCCUUUAACUCUUGGACCAAGGAGGAGUGUCAUUGCCCAGUUGAUCUCCAAUUUGGAAAAUUUGCAGCCAUGGGUCUUAUUACUGCAUCGGUGCAUCCAGCAUGUGGAUGUUUUUGUCUUUUGGGAGAGGGGGGAGUGUUUUGGAUUGAUGACUGUCCACACACAACUUAAACCAGAUCUUCCCUAUCCACACAAAUUUCCUCGCCUGUGGAGCGAUGGGAGUUGGGCCUGUUGUUUUUUCUCAUUGCGUGGUAACUUAUCUUUGCUGUAGUGUUCACAGUAGCCACAGCUGUUUGACUUGGACCCGGACGGCAGGUUAAAUGAACAGGGUUCAGAAUAAGUGAAGAUGUAUCAGGUUCCCCUGUGCCGGUUUGAUGCGAGGAAACGCAGGGUGGACCGACCUAUCAUCACUGUGCGUGGGAUCUCUGCCACACGAUGACUGAUUCAACACUCUGAUCCAAACUCUGAAUAUUGACCUUAAAUAACCUUUUGCUCCAUCAUAAAUCAGAGCAAUUAACUGAUAUCUGCCAACAGUUUGAUGCUUAUAGCAUAUCAAUGGUGAAACAUAGUGUCGAACAUAAAAUGUUAUUUUUAAUAAUUGUAAAAUAAUAGUGAUAAAAAAAAAAAAAAAUGGCUGAUUUAAUUUUCCCACACCUAUACAGUGAAUUAUAUUCCACACCCAUGAUGAUAGACUACAACAUAUGGUGGAAAAAUGCUUAAGGAAUUAGAUAUUUUAAGGUUAAUUGUGUAAUUUCGGCACUAUACAAAAUAGUAAAAUAAUCAGUAUGACUGGUUUCAAACAGAUUUUUGAACAUGUUUUGCCACAGUCUUUUCUAGGGGAUUAAUUCAUGAAUGUCAACUUACUAUUUAUAGAUGCUAUUUACACUAAGUGAAAAGAGCAAUAGCCUAUUCUAUUUACACUAAUUGACAAUAGCAAAAUUUUCUUAGUGAUAUGCUAUAUACACUAAAUGAAAAUAGCGAUAUAUUUUAUUUAGACUAUAUAAAAGUAGCAGUUCUUUGUAAUAAGUGAAAAUAGUUGUUAGACGCUAUUUAUAGUGGCAGAUAAUAUUUGUACCUCAGUAUUGUUGUACAUUAACAGGAUGCAAUAAUAACAUAGAGUGUAAAUUAUUAUAUUUAUUAAAAUUAUUAAAUGGAUGCCGACCUAUUGGGACAAUAAAACCCUCCCUACAAUGACCCCUAAUCCUACCCAAUAAAUACUUUAUUAUUAAACACUUGUUAGACACUUUAUUUCCACUUUUCAAAUAUUUUCUUCAUUUUUAUUGAAAAUAAAUACCUUUCUGAUUUGAUAUGUGAUGGGGAAAGGGAGAAGAGUGAGUUCGGCAAAAGGCGGAGUUUAGUUUAGUGUUUUGUUUUUCCCUCAUGUAGCGGCACAAGUAGCCUAUCCACUGAGAGGCUAAGUAGCUGCUAUUAAAUCCAUGAUGCGUUUUGAUGCAAACUCUUUAUUUAAACAGCGUUGAACAGGAUCAGCAUGUCAAAUGACGAUGGUACAAGCAAAUAUGAAACUAAAUGAAACAAACUAAAUUAAAUUAAAUUAAAUUAAACAAAACGAAACGGUCAACAGAAAGUGAGCAUUCCAACU